UCUUCGGCAAUGGGCGCAAGCCUGACCGAGCGACGCCGCGUGGAGGAUGAAGGCCUUCGGGUUGUAAACUCCUGUCGAGGGGGAGGAAGGGGCAACCUUGACCGAUCCCUGGAGGAAGCACGGGCUAAGUUCGUGCCAGCAGCCGCGGUAAGACGAACCGUGCGAACGUUAUUCGGAAUCACUGGGCUUAAAGCGCGUGUAGGCGGACGGGUGCGUCGGCUUCUGAAAGCCCCCGGCUCAACAGGGGAAGUGGGGCCGAAACGACCCGUCUGGAGGGACGUAGGGGGAUCUGGAACUUCCGGUGGAGCGGUGAAAUGCGUUGAGAUCGGAAGGAACGCCCGUGGCGAAAGCGAGAUCCUGGACGUUUUCUGACGAUGAGACGCGAAAGCUAGGGGAGCAAACGG
rnacentral:rRNA from 1 species